UCCCUGGUGAUCUAGUGGUUAGGAUUCAGGGCUUUUACUACUGUGGCCCAGGUUCAAUCCCUGGUCAGGGAA